AUACAUGCAAGUCGAGGGGCAGCACAGGUAGCAAUACUGGGUGGCGACCGGCAAACGGGUGCGGAACACGUACGCAACCUUCCUUCAAGAGAUGGAUAGCCCGAAGAAAUUCGGAUUAAUACAUCGUAAAAUCACAGGGUGGCAUCACUCAAUGAUUAAAGAAUUUCGCUUGAAGAUGGGCGUGCGCCUGAUUAGGUAGUUGGUGAGGUAACGGCUCACCAAGCCGACGAUCAGUAACUGGCGUGAGAGCGCGACCAGUCACACGGGCACUGAGACACGGGCCCGACUCCUACGGGAGGCAGCAGUAAGGAAUAUUGGUCAAUGGACGCAAGUCUGAACCAGCCAUGCCGCGUGAAGGAUGAAGGUCCUCUGGAUUGUAAACUUCUUUUAUCUGGGACGAAAUCACCUUUUUCUAAGGGUGUUGACGGUACCAGAGGAAUAAGCACCGGCUAACUCCGUGCCAGCAGCCGCGGUAAUACGGAGGGUGCAAGCGUUAUCCGGAUUCACUGGGUUUAAAGGGUGCGUAGGCGGAUUUGUAAGUCCGUGGUGAAAUCUCCAGGCUUAACCUGGAAACUGCCAUGGAUACUAUAAGUCUUGAAUAUUUGUGGAGGUUAGCGGAAUAUGUCAUGUAGCGGUGAAAUGCAUAGAUAUGACAUAGAACACCAAUUGCGAAGGCAGCUGGCUACACAAAUAUUGACGCUGAGGCACGAAAGCGUGGGGAUCAAACAGGAUUAGAUACCCCUGGUAGUCCACGCCCUAAACGAUGAUUACUCGACAUUUGCGAUAUACCAGUAAAGUGUCUGAGCGAAAGCAUUAAGUAAUCACCCUGGGAAGUACGACCGCAAGGUUGAAACUCAAAGGAAUUUGACGGGGGUCCGCACAAGCGGUGGAAGCAUGGUGGUUUAAUUCGAUGAUACGCGAGGAACCUUACCUGGGCUAGAAUGCAAGA
rnacentral:rRNA from 1 species